CCUACGGGAGGCAGCAGUGGGGAAUAUUGCACAAUGGGGGGAAACCCUGAUGCAGCGACGCCGCGUGGAGGAAGAAGGUCUUCGGAUUGUAAACUCCUGUUGUUGAGGAAUGAUAAUGACGGUACUCAACAAGGAAGUGACGGCUAACUACGUGCCAGCA
rnacentral:rRNA from 1 species